rnacentral:rRNA from 1 species
GACAGAGGGUGCAAACGUUGUUCGGAAUUACUGGGCGUAAAGCGUGUGUAGGCGGCUACGUAAGUCGGAUGUGAAAGCCCCAGGCUCAACCUGGGAAGUGCACUCGAAACUGGCAGGCUUGAAUAUGGAAGAGGGUCGCGGAAUUCCCGGUGUAGAGGUGAAAUUCGUAGAUAUCGGGAGGAACACCAGUGGCGAAGGCGACUUUCUGGCCUGUUCUUGACGCUGAGGCGCGAAAGCUAGGGGAGCAAACGGG